rnacentral:rRNA from 1 species
AAAGGGUCCUGAGGUGGUUUGCCCAGUCUACUGUGAAAGAUCAGGGCUCAACCCUGAAAAUGCGGUGGAAACUAGCAGGCUAGAAUACGGUAGGGGCAGGGGGAAUUCCCGGUGUAGCGGUGAAAUGCAUAGAUAUCGGGAAGAACACCAAUGGCGAAAGCACCCUGCUGGGCCGAUAUUGACACUGACAGACGAAAGCUAGGGGAGCAAAUGGGAUUAGAUACCCCAGU